UCUAAUAGCUUAAACUCUCAAAACACUACCCUAAACCCCCUAAUCAAACCCAGUAUUUUACU
rnacentral:tRNA from 1 species